AGGUCAUUUUGAAGACAGCUUCUUAGCAACCCUUUAUAACGCUCUCAUACCUUAUAAAUUGAUUCACCCGGAUUUUGCUCAAACUGUGCUACUGCCUUCUUGAGUUU